rnacentral:rRNA from 1 species
UACGGAGGGUGCGAGCGUUGCCCGGAAUCACUGGGCGUAAAGGGCGCGUAGGCGGCCUGAUAAGUCGGGGGUGAAAUCCUGCGGCUUAACCGCAGGGCUGCCUUCUAAACUGUCAGGCUAGAGCACAGUAGAGGCAGGUGGAAUUCCCGGUGUAGCGGUGGAAUGCGUAGAGAUCGGGAAGAACAUCAGUGGCGAAGGCGGCCUGCUGGGCUGUUGCUGACGCUGAGGCGCGACAGCGUGGGGAGCAAACAGG